UACGGAGGAUCCAAGCGUUAUCCGGAAUCAUUGGGUUUAAAGGGUCCGUAGGUGGACGAUUAAGUCAGGGGUGAAAGUCUGCAGCUCAACUGUAGAAUUGCCCUUGAUACUGGUUGUCUUGAAUCAUUGUGAAGUGGUUAGAAUAUGUAGUGUAGCGGUGAAAUGCAUAGAUAUUACAUAGAGUACCAAUUGCGAAGGCAGAUCCCUAACCAUGUAUUGACACUGAUGGACGAAAGCGUGGGUAGCGAUCAGU
rnacentral:rRNA from 1 species